rnacentral:rRNA from 1 species
GGAAACUGGAGCUAAUACCGGAUACGCCCUUUUGGGGAAAGGUUUACUGCCGAAGGAUCGGCCCGCGUCUGAUUAGCUAGUUGGUGGGGUAACGGCCUACCAAGGCGACGAUCAGUAGCUGGUCUGAGAGGAUGAUCAGCCACACUGGGACUGAGACACGGCCCAGACUCCUACGGGAGGCAGCAGUGGGGAAUAUUGGACAAUGGGCGCAAGCCUGAUCCAGCCAUGCCGCGUGAGUGAUGAAGGCCUUAGGGUUGUAAAGCUCUUUUAUCCGGGACGAUAAUGACGGUACCGGAGGAAUAAGCCCCGGCUAACUUCGUGCCAGCAGCCGCGGUAAUACGAAGGGGGCUAGCGUUGCUCGGAAUCACUGGGCGUAAAGGGCGCGUAGGCGGCGUUUUAAGUCGGGGGUGAAAGCCUGUGGCUCAACCACAGAAUGGCCUUCGAUACUGGGACGCUUGAGUCUGGUAGAGGUUGGUGGAACUGCGAGUGUAGAGGUGAAAUUCGUAGAUAUUCGCAAGAACACCGGUGGCGAAGGCGGCCAACUGGACCGGCACUGACGCUGAGG